UUUAAGUAUUCAAGCAGCAAGAAGAGGCAAGUUUGGACUGAUGUAUUUGCUGGUCUAAACAUGCAUCCUGUUACUGCUUCAAUGCUUAAGCUGUUCCUCUCUGUCCAGAGAAUAAUCUUGGUUGGAAGGGAUCUUUUUUAGCCCAGUGCCCCACUCGGUGCAGGGCCAGUUGGCUGACAUUGGUCGUAAAGCUUUUCUCUUUGCUUGUAAGUAGACGAGACCCAAUUUCAGCAGCAUGUGGCCAAGCGUUAGUCUCUUUGUUAACAGGCAUAGGGAGUUAUGUAGCUGAGCUGCAAAAGUUCAUCCUCUGAAACGAGAGCAAGCGAAGAUUUGGUGGUGAAAAUCUGGGGCCAAAUAAGGUUUUGAGUAAGAGCUGGCACAGUAAAUCAGGGUCGAGUUUUGAGCUCCGUCCAGUCAUUGCACCAAAAUAAAAAGGCAAGAGAAGGAAACCAGGGAGUGGAGUGCCCCCAGCUUCUUUCUGUGUCACAGGAUACUUGGAAGGAGUUUUAUAAAGAUCCUUCCAUCCCUGGUUAAAUGUUUAGCAGCGGCUCAGUGAUGCUAGUAGGGGCAGUGACCUCUCUCGAUGCUGCUAAGCUUCUGCAAGCAGGCAGAAAGUUAACUGGAAAAGACGAAUCUGUGGGCAGUAACAGCUAUUUUAAAAAGCUGAGAGAAAUAAUCCCCCUCAGCUACAAAAUGAUCUUCAGUAAAUUGUUGGGAUACCAGCUGUCAAGUCAAUGUUCUGGUUCCUUAGCGUGCCCAUCUGCGCCGAUCCUGCGUCGGCUCUCUGCGAGCGCUCGGUGCUGUUUGGUUGCUGCUGAUCUCUCUUUAAAUAUGAGACGCGGCAGGUAAGGGCUGUUUUCUCACUUCAUGUCUUGGAGGGGUUUAUGCCAAAAAGAGUCAGAAAUUCUGCUGAUUCACAACAGUGUCAUUUGGGAAUUAAUUUUUCAGAGAUGUCUUGCUUGAUGCAGUUCAGUUCUGCAUUCCCUUAAGCUGUGUGCAAGUCACAUGAGACUUAUUAUAAACACAGAUCCUCUUUGGCUUCUCUCUGCCUGCACCCUGUGUCUGAAACGCUCUCUGGAUCCCCUGUGUCCCACUGCAGCCUCUUCUAAGCUGGUUAUGAAACUCUGUGUUAUCCGGUUCCCUCCAAUGAUGGUUCAAAACUGCUGUCAAUCCUCAGUCUCUGGUUAAUCUGGAGGAGGUGUGUUGAUGCAAAGGGGAAGGAGGGAAGAUGACAAUUUGGGGUAGAAAGUCUUUCUGUUUCGGUGUAUAGGCUCUAGUUUUGAUGCCGUUUAAUACCUUUUUUUUUUUUUUUUUUUCCUCUCCUUUGUACAGGCAGUGUCUUUCAAGUAGGUGGUUCUUGAAAUUAAAAGUACUUGAACAGGGAAGCAGCCCUGGAAACAAUCUACUUGAAGCUGGAAGGCAGCACUCUUGCAAAAUCAAACAGCCCUUAAGAUUGGAAGAGAGGCAUUUAACAGUAUAUGUGGUUAGCCUUGCUUCAUUCAGAGGUAAACUUGCUCUUGCCAGGGCAAGGCUAACCCUCUGUUCUAAGGCUGACAGCGCUGGCUUCUUAAAGCCUAGCUUGGCUUUCCCUGGGGUAAGCUGUCUGGUUUCAGGCUGCAUCAGCGUGCAAAAGAUCAUUCAAGCAGGGCAGGCUUGUGCUGAAAUACCCGGUGUCCGUCAGCAGUCAGCUCUGGCACAGAGGAAAGCCGGAGGUCCCUGCAGGAACUAAGAUCCUUCUCUUGGCCUCUUGGAGCUUCUUCGCCUGCAUUAAGCUGCUGACCCCAUAACUCUUAAUUUGUGCAACCCCAACUUGUAGGGUGAGGUGAGGCUUUGGGACAUCGUCGGUUGUUGUCCCCUCCGCCUCUCCCGCUUGCUUCAGUGCUGGCUGGCCAGAGCCGCAGCAGCUUGUUCUCCCAUGUACCCCACUCUGUCUCCGUCUUGGGCAGACUCCACGAAAUGUGCUUGGCUGCACCAUCUGCGUUGUUACGCCUGGGUGCGUUUUUGGCCUCCUCGGUGGUUAACAGAAAUAGAUUUUAAUUAAAAGCUCAUUAUCGAGUUGUCGUGUAGCAUUAGUAAAUAAAAAUAACUUUUACAGCCCUGUCUUGUGGCUUAGUAAGUGGCAAUUGAAAGUAUUUGACAUCACUUUAUUUUUUAAAAAAUGGAAGAAUAUUGCAUAUUUGAUUCCCUGUUUGCUCUAAAUGGGCUUUAAAUACAAAUAAAUGGUUAUCUGUGGCAAUUCUGUUACCAUUCAAGUCCAGAAGGAGAAAUAAAUGCGGUCUGCAGUCUCAAA